rnacentral:misc_RNA from 1 species
GAUGAAGAACGUAGCGAAAUGCGAUAAGUAAUGUGAAUUGCAGAAUUCAGUGAAUCAUCGAAUCUUUGAACGCACAUUGCACCCCCUGGUAUUCCGGGGGGCAUGCCUGUCCGAGCGUCAUUACAACCCUCAAGCUCAGCUUGGUGUUGGGCCCCGCCGCCCCGGCGGGCCCUAAAGUCAGUGGCGGUGCCGUCCGGCUCCGAGCGUAGUAAUUCUUCUCGCUCUGGAGGUCCGGUCGUGUGCUCGCCAGCAACCCCCAAUUUUUUUCAGGUUGACCUCGGAUCAGGUAGGGAUACCCGCUGAACUUAAGCAUAUCAAUAAGCGGAGGA